UGUUGCCCUUGUUUUUUUAAAAGCGCCAUUCCUCUGGAAUCCCUACUAUCACUGCAGCGAGUGAAACUUCAACCAUGUCAGUCAGUAAACAGUGAGUGACAAACAAACGGGGAACAUCUCAAUAGUCCAAAUGACUCUCUCCCUGUCUUCUUAAUCUGCACUAAUGAAUAAUAUCUGGACGAUGUAAAACCUAUCAUCUCUCCCUUCUGUUUUUGAAUCUUUCUACCUCCUGAUUCUGCCUCUACCUUUUCCUCAUCCUGUAACUGGUUCUCUCCUCUUCCUCCAGACAAAAUCCUGCGUCUAGUGACGUUCAUUUGCCAACAAACUGCCCACUCGACUUGACUCGACGCCAACCCCUCCUCCCUCCUAUGUCUGACCACUGGCUGCUUUCUCUCCAACUUUGACUACCAGUCGUACCCCCCCCUCAAAAAAAUGAACACUUCUCCGACAGGUAUCCUUUCUUUCUUUUUUAUCUUGAUAUACAAACUGUCAGUCGGAUAGCACUGAAUAAAUCAGAUUAAGCCGUUAACUAAACGUACAAUUCAUUGUGCUAUAUCUUGAAUAUUAUUUAGCCCAGCUUCUAGACCAAUAUUUUGUAUCUCGGUCAUGAUACAUGUAUCUAGUCUUGUUGCGGGCAUGAAUGAGAUGCGCGCUCUUCGUUAUUUAUCUUCCCUAUUGAACAUACUAUUCUCCGUCUUAAAUUGUAUUGUUUAUUUAGAUAUUAGAGUACCUGAGAAUGAAUUAUAAACAUUGUUUGACUUGUUUGUCGUAGUUAUCCCGCUAGUGGUUCAUGCGCCCUAAGAGGUUUUAAGGGGAGUGUUAGUAUCUAACAAUUGGAUUUAAUUAUUUCCAGGCCACCUCGGUGACUCAAACAAUGCAUUUAUUUUCAGAACCGUCCACUGACCAUGGAUUUACCCUUCAACAUGGUAAAAGAGAAGCAAAACGGGGACAGACAGGUCGGAUCUAGGGGUUCUGGGACGCAUACCGUAUCCCUUCCCCAGACCUUGAUCCACCUGAUGUCCUCCAUGAUCAACCACCCUCCAAGAUCCCACUUUUCAUGACAUUAUCUACAGCUACUGUUAAUGUCAUGUGGUUUGAUAGAAUCUGCUUAGGGACCUGUGCAUGACAUAUCAUCCUAGGCACAGUGAGAUAAGCUACAGGGAAAGUGACCAGCAGAACCACUUGUAGCAUCCACAGCUUCUCUAUCCCACACAUCAGAAUUGAGAUAAAGGAUUUAAAAAAUCACUUUACUUAUAUGUACUUGUAAUUCAUACUUCUGUUUUCUCAACUAAAUUUUAUUGUUUGUGUUGAUGUUUGCCUAUACUCAUGUAUUUCAGUCUAUAACUGCCAUGUGGGUAUAUUAAAUAAAAUCAAGUUCAUUACACACCUGUACCACUAUUAUUAUUAUUAUUUUUUAAAUAAUUCAAUCUUCAAUAUUGCCCCUUUUUUC
rnacentral:lncRNA from 1 species